rnacentral:rRNA from 1 species
CCAGCACAAAAGCACCGGAUCCCAUCAGAACUCCGAAGUUAAGCGUGCUUGG